CUUUUUCCACUGACUAUCUCUAAAGCAACGACUCCAAAGCUGUAAACAUCUGCCUUGUCUGUCAAGUAUCCUCUCAUUGCAUACUCGGGUGCCAUAUAACCGCUGAAGACAAACAAAAAACCAAAGCACAAAUAUUAAUGGUUCUCUGUGUUGAUACCA